rnacentral:rRNA from 1 species
GUGAGGAAUAUUGGUCAAUGGGCGAGAGCCUGAACCAGCCAAGUCGCGUGAAGGAAGAAGGAUCUAUGGUUCGUAAACUUCUUUUGCAGGGGAAUAAAGUGCGGGACGUGUCCUGUUUUGUAUGUACCCUGAGAAUAAGGAUCGGCUAACUCCGUGCCAGCAGCCGCGGUAAUACGGAGGAUCCGAGCGUUAUCCGGAUUUAUUGGGUUUAAAGGGUGCGUAGGUGGUUUGAUAAGUCAGCGGUGAAAGUUUGCAGCUUAACUGUAAAAAUGCCGUUGAAACUGUCGGACUUGAGUGUAAAUGAGGUAGGCGGAAUGCGUGGUGUAGCGGUGAAAUGCAUAGAUAUCACGAAGAACUCCGAUUGCGAAGGCAGCUUACUAAGCUACAACUGACACUGAAGCACGAAAGCGUGGGGAUCAAACAGGAUUAGAUACCCCGGUAGUCC